rnacentral:rRNA from 1 species
CACGCCGUAAACGAUGAGUGCUAGGUGUUGGGUGUCAAAGCUCAGUGCCGCAGCUAACGCAAUAAGCACUCCGCCUGGGGAGUACGAUGGCAACAUUGAAACUCAAAGGAAUUGACGGGGACCCGCACAAGCAGCGGAGCAUGUGGUUUAAUUCGAAGCAACGCGAAGAACCUUACCUGGACUUGACAUCCCCUGAAUGACUCGUAAUGGAGGAAGCCCUACGGGGCAGGGAGACAGGUGG